CUUCCCAUGUUACAGGUUAUGUUGCGGUAGCAGAAGCUGGGAUUUUCCCAGCAUGUACUGGUUAGCAUGUUUGCUGAUAAAACUAUCAGUUUAUACCAUUUCUCGCAUGUUAUGUGGUUCACAUUGAUUGUUGACUGUUCUUUAUGUCUUUUAAUCUUCUGAGUUACCAUUGUAACCUGAAGUAUUUGUUUUGCCACACCAUGAGUGUGAGUGUUAGCACAGAUACCUUCCAUCAGCACACGCACAGCGUUAGUGUUUAAAGUGUAGGUGACACGUAAUCCCAUGUUUUCAUGAAUAUUUAAGACUAACAUUAAAAGACAGUUUAAAAUUUCUCCUUUCCUGGUGCGCAGUUCUUGAAGAGAUAAAUAUUCACAUUUUGAACUGCGCACCACUAAAAACCAGGAACCGGCAAGUGCCAACAUUGGACAUGAAGGAGGAGGAAGUGGCGUCAGUACGAGAACCAUUAUCUUAACAGCCCCAUUUAUUUAUGGAUUUUCACAGGCUACUAACAGCCCUGUUUCCACAAAGUGGUUCGGGUCAGAGCUGCACUGCAUUUUUGGUGUCAGAACGAUUCAUUUUUGCCGGCAGAAUCUUUGUCAAUUGGCGGGUGGAAACACUUAUAUUGACGAGUGCGUACGCACAGUGUCCGUGGCUUCUCCACUUGGCACAGAGACAAAACUGAGUCUUUUCAGAUUAUUUUAUUGUUUUCUGUAUCAUGGGAUAAUGUUGGUGCGUGCAGACAGACGUUUUGAGCACAUGAAGCGCUGCAAGUCUUUCUUGCAGUGCAAAGUGGCUCAUUAACAAAAGACUCAAUCCAUCAGCUCCAAUAACGGAUUACAGCCGGCGUUGCCGGCACCAAACUCCCGUGUGACAAAUUGACUUUUCUUCAGCCAAGACAGGAGGAAUUAAAUUAUUUUCAGCUGUCGUUUUUA